rnacentral:misc_RNA from 1 species
AAAGAAAAAUGAUUAUGCUAAAAAAUGUUACCUUAUAAGAAUAUACAACCAGUGCUAUCUACCUUUCAAAAGUGCAAAAGUGUUGUUAGUGGUAUAGGUUACAUGUUUACUGGUAGAUCUUUAUUGCAAUUUAUUAUUAUAUAAAUUACAGUUUAUAUCAUGGAUUAUUGCGUAUAAAUGAAUUAAAAAUCACGAGAUGUCAAGGAAAAAAGUUACAAAACAGUGUUCGAGCCAGGAAGCUUCGGCUUUGAUGCAUCAACGCGAAGACCAUUCUAAGCGAGAAUGUAGUCAAAAUGACAAUUUCAAAAUUGUUGUGCGAAGAAGAUAGCACGUGGUUUGAUAGCACUGCAUAGCAGAUUGGAUUCUAAUAGCGUAAUGGGUUAUUACUUGGAUAAAUGGAGGCAAUCCGGAGAGAAGAUAGUCAUUUUGGAAGGAAUUAAUAAUAAGCAUUUAGAAUAUCUUUACAACAAAACCAGAUAUUUUGCUCUCGACUUGCAUAAGCUCUACGAACGAUGGUCGAGUAGAAAAGACAUCGCAGUCUUAACAGUAUUUGGGAUGCAGGAAGAUAUACAAGAAUUUUUUGAAGCACUAUUACCUUACGGUACAAUAAAAAUCACCUAUUAGAAAUACAUGUGUAUGUAUGUGUUUGUACAAAUAUUUUUCAUGUGUACUUUACGAUGAGAUGCACAUAUUAUAUUUUUUAUUUAUUGCACUUAUUAGAAAUCUAUUGUAAUAAUUCAAAGAACAUUUUUAUCAGUUAAUAGAACAAAAAUACUAAUAGUGCAAGAAUUGAAAUUUACUAACUUAAUAUUCAUAUUACGUAAAUAUUUAUAAUGCAAUGACGCAUCGACUGCCAAUAUCCUACAUCCUAAUCCACAUUGAUUCUAUGUAUCAGUGGAACAGGUAGUUGAAUUCUUCAUGCAAUCUGCUUCUGUAUACUAAUUAAUUAAAAAAAUGUGUCACUCAUUCUUGGAACGUAGCAUACCGAGAACAUAAACGUAACACAUUGAGGAUGAUACUAAAAAAUACAAUUUCAAUUACAAACUUAUAAAUUACCGAUAUUAAACCUUUUGAAAAAUAUAUUAGAUUUUAUCAUCCGAGUAUCUUAAAAGCUACCAAUCAAAAAUAUCAAAUAAAGUUGAUUAGAAUCUAAUUAUAAUCGUUCGUAGAAGAUAUAAAAAAGAUAUUAAAAAUAUAGAGACAAACAAAUGGAAUAUAAAGCAGUAAUAAUAAUGGUAGUAUAAUAAGAAUAAGAAUAAGAAUAAGAAUAAGAAAAGACGAGGAAGAAAGGAGCUGUCGUUGCAAGAUGCAAAAGGCUAUCCACAGGCGAAGAAGAGGCGCCACGCCCGCCCCUCCAUGCUCUGCGAAAGCUACUCGCCUCGUCGAUGGUCGUAGAAGAGGGAAGGGGUAAAAGAGGGAGUCAGUUGUUCGGCGCAGCCGCCCGCCGCGUUUUAUGCAACCAGUCGUGCUUCGGAGCGAACGAAUCUACUACCCCGGUCUCCUUUGACAGACGGGGAAGCGCGUGCGGUUCUCGUACCAACUCCUAUACCGUAUCUCGAGAUCGGGGAAUUGACUACGCUCCGUCCGAUUCGAGCAAGUACGAGUCACGUUUCCGGCGAUAACCAUUUGAAGAAAAACCUAGCUCUUGUGAAAUAUCCUUAUCGAGUUCCGAGGAACUAUAUUCUGUGAGCUGUGCCCCUUGUGUAGAGAGACAGCGUUAUAGUAUCCGCGCGUUCUAACGCAUUACGAAUACGAUACGAUAUAUAUAUAUAUAUAUAUACAUAUGUAUAUAUAUCGACAGUGAAGAAGGUGCUAAGAACGUAGGCGAAACGUACGAGGAAGAAGGAACGAGCAGAUCGUCGAGCGAGUAGCUCGAAAACACCACGAGCUAAAGGAAGGCAAGGUCGUAGAAAGGCGGUGUCGGUGUUGUGUUUCCGCUAGAUCUGAGAGGGUGAUAGAUAUAUAUUAUCCGAAGACCAAAAAACGAACGUAUUUGGGAACGAGACACACAUUCUUCUUCUCCCUUCUUCUCUACCGACGGAGAGAGAAACGUUAGCCUAACAUUUUCGUCAAAGGUGUCCGUAAAUGAUCUCGUGGAACGAGCCCGUGAACUAACGAUCUACGACAAGAAUCCCGAUGUGUCAACGCGGCUGCAUUAUAGCCACGACUACUUCUCUGUGCUUCGCACUAUCUAAUCCCGCCGCGUAUACGUGUGUCGUUCUCGUCCGCGUCGUGUGACGUGUGCGUGAGCAAGAGGAAGA